rnacentral:rRNA from 1 species
GUUGUAUGGUUAAGUGACUAAGCGUACACGGUGGAUGCCUUGGCAGUCAGAGGCGAUGAAGGACGUAGUAACUUGCGAUAAGCGUAGAUGAGGCAGUAACAGCCACUUGAGUCUACGAUUUCCGAAUGGGGAAACCCACUGGCAUAAGCCAGUAUCAUUGAGUGAAUACAUAGCUCAAUGAAGCGAACCGGGAGAACUGAAACAUCUAAGUACCCCGAGGAAAAGAAAUCAACCGAGAUUCCGAAAGUAGCGGCGAGCGAAAUUGGAUUAGCCCUUAAGCUUUACAUGUGUUAGACGAACGGUCUGGAAAGUCCGACGAUACAGGGUGAUAGUCCCGUAGUUGACGAUGCAUGUUCAGUGAAAUCGAGUAGGGCGGGACACGUGUUAUCCUGUCUGAAUAUGGGGGGACCAUCCUCCAAGGCUAAAUACUCCUGACUGACCGAUAGUGAACCAGUACCGUGAGGGAAAGGCGAAAAGAACCCCUGUGAGGGGAGUGAAAUAGAACCUGAAACCGUGUACGUACAAGCAGUAGGAGCACCUUCGUGGUGUGACUGCGUACCUUUUGUAUAAUGGGUCAGCGACUUAUAUUCAGUGGCAAGGUUAACCAUCUAGGGGAGCCGUAGGGAAACCGAGUCUUAACUGGGCGCCAUAGUCUCUGGAUAUAGACCCGAAACCGAGUGAUCUAGCCAUGGGCAGGUUGAAGGUUGAGUAACAUCAACUGGAGGACCGAACCGACUAAUGUUGAAAAAUUAGCGGAUGACUUGUGGCUAGGGGUGAAAGGCCAAUCAAACUCGGAGAUAGCUGGUUCUCCCCGAAAGCUAUUUAGGUAGCGCCUCGGACGAAUACUACUGGGGGUAGAGCACUGUUAAGGCUAGGGGGUCAUCCCGACUUACCAACCCUUUGCAAACUCCGAAUACCAGUAAGUACUAUCCGGGAGACACACGGCGGGUGCUAACGUCCGUCGUGGAGAGGGAAACAACCCAGACCGCCAGCUAAGGUCCCAAAUUACAGCUAAGUGGGAAACGAUGUGGGAAGGCUUAGACAGCUAGGAUGUUGGCUUAGAAGCAGCCAUCAUUUAAAGAAAGCGUAAUAGCUCACUAGUCGAGUCGGCCUGCGCGGAAGAUGUAACGGGGCUAAGUUGUAAACCGAAGCUGCGGCAAUGUUCUAUGAACAUUGGGUAGGGGAGCGUUCUGUAAGCCGUUGAAGGUGUGUUGUAAAGCAUGCUGGAGGUAUCAGAAGUGCGAAUGCUGACAUGAGUAACGACAAGGGGGGUGAAAAACCUCCCCGCCGGAAGACCAAGGGUUCCUGUCCAACGUUAAUCGGGGCAGGGUAAGUCGACCCCUAAGGCGAGGCUGAAAAGCGUAGUCGAUGGGAAACGGGUUAAUAUUCCCGUACUUCUUACAAUUGCGAUGGGGGGACGGAGAAGGCUAGGUGGGCCUGGCGACGGUUGUCCAGGUUCAAGUGCGUAGGCU